GCCUUUGUAAAUAUACAUCUUUUGCAAACAUACAGCUGUGUCCAUCCCCAGGCUUAGUUUCCUCAUACACAAUCUACUCAGUCCUAUGCUGUUGUUUUAUUUUUUUGUCUUCCAUUUCAAUACUUAGCAGUUUUCUGAUGGCGCAAUGGAAAGGUAUUUUAAAUUAAUUCUUCAAACUCACAAGCAUUAGUCUCAUGUGUGUUUCCAACUAUUGUCACCCAUCUGGACUAGCUUCAGAGUUAAAGUCACACACAUGACCACAACAACUUGGACCUUUGAGAUCACCCUAUUUGUCAGAGGCAGCAUCCUGCACAGAAUCACUAACUUCUGAUUUGGCACUUGUCUACUUCUCGGUCUGGUAGCUCAUCCCAUUUGUGACCUAGACUGAUCUCUUCAGGCUUCCUUUCUCUCUAGCACUCCCAUGAAACACUCCUUCAAUGGCUCAACCUUUUGGAAUUUUCUGUGACCACUUAAUCCCUCCUUCAUCUAAUCCAGUGCACUCAAAAGAAAUUUUGUUGUACCUACUAUAAUAUUCAGUGAAAUGUUUUUGUCAAUCAUUACAGUACAACUGUUUAUUUCUUCAAAAGCUUGAGCAAGUACGUGCAUAUUUUUUCUGUGCUGGCCUAUUGCAUGACUUGUUUUGUUUAUUGGAGUUCAAUGCCAAGUGUGUCCUACAAGACUAAUCAUGAUGCACCAUUAACUGCUUUACUGGUAUGCACCACCAUGGGACACAAUUAACAUUGUCAAUGCUAUUGAUGUUUAAGGAUUUAAUGACAGAACCUAUGGUACUUGCUAACUGUGGUUCCUCUAUUUAUCAUGUAUGAGAAUCCAGCACUGACUGGAGUUAAUUUUGCUAGAUAUUUCCAAGUUAUGUCAAUAGAUGUGACCUUUCCAUGCUAUUUAGCACAAGUUCUCAAACUGCUGUAAAAAAACUUUUUUUUCUGUCAUUCUUUUGUAUGAAUCGCUAUUGCCAGCAAAAUGAAAAAGCAGCCUGCUAAAAAAACGUUUGAGAAAAGGGAAGGGAAAAGAUUCCUCCUCUCUGAAAUUGUCUGAGUGUGUGUGUUGUCUUUAACAACAUUAGUCAUGGAAUGCGUCAGUUCAGAUGCUGAUAACCCUCAUGAAUAAAAUCUGUAAUUAAAGAACUAUAAUCGCUGUUCUUUAAACCAGAAACAUUUUAUUCUACUUCUUCUGUGAACAUGUGUUCAUUACAAACUAACAUCAGAGGUUAGCUAAACAUAGAAAAGAACAGCUAUUAAGAGACCACGCCUCACAGUUUGGAAAGAGUUAUCUGACAUACUAUGGCUGCAGUUUACAUAUUUUCUGCAUCAUUCAGGAUGGAGUCUUUUGAACAGAAAGAAUAGAAAUGAAAAAAAAGACACAAAAAACUAAACAAAUAUUAGCAAGUCAGUUUUACAAAACAGUUAAAAGCUGCAACUACAGAGAGUAACAGCAAGAAAACAUAGAACUAGACUCAGAUUCCAGGACUGGAAAGAAAGCUGCCCAAAGAGGCCUUCUGCCAAGGCCGAGGCUGAGUGAUAUUUACAGCAGGCAGCGAGUGCAAGAUAGCAGCAUUUGCAUCUGUCCCACCAGCCGCUUCUUCACUCUCCUUUCUCCUCUCUAAAGCAAGGAAGAUUAGACCAAAGUGUGUGCAUGUGUGCACAUCACACAUGCAGGAUGACUCACAAGAAGGGCAUUUCUUACUCACUUCCACAUACAGCCCCUCUUAGCACUAUAGUAUAAGCAUCAUAUGCUGAUUAUAUAUGGAAGCUCCUGGCUAAGCCCAUCAAAUUCACUCUUAACAGAUGCUGCCUAAAUACCUGGUACAUUAGUGUCUAAGUGUUCAAGAGAGAGUCACCAUAUGAUGAGAUCUUUGAUACGCUAUUUUUCCUUAAUAAUCCCAAACCAAAACAAGAACUCAAGAACGUUUCACUAGUGAGUGAAUGUGUACAUGCAGCACAUCAUACUAAAAACAAUCAACAACUAAGUUUAAAACUACAAUAAUUACUGUAUUUAAUCUCAUUAAACAUGACAAUAACAAUAGGACUAGUGUUUUUCAGUCAAAUCUGCAUUUCAAAUGCUGAUAGUAAUACUGUAAAAUAAUGACAACUAAUGUAACUUUAGGAAUCUGCCAAUAAAUUGCUUUUGAUUUUUAAGCUUUUAAUAUGAUCUAUAGGUACUACUUAACAACUCAACAAUGGGCAUGGCCCAUUUUAAAAUUUUGAUUUAAUAAGGCAUAGAAAGGGAAAUAGAAAUUCUAAUUUUCUCAAAACCCCCAAACACAAAACGUGGAGUUUAGGUUAUAGUGUCACUUGCAAGCUAUGUGUGGAGUGCUACUUUCUCAAAUGUCUGUCAAAACACAAGCCUGCUCACAGACACGAUAGGCUUAUUCAUGCAACAAAAUCCUCCAUUUUUUUUUUUAACACUGCAGUUAACACUAUUCUUGCAGUUUCAGUGUAUUUAUCCAGGUUCCUGCACAAGGAACUUCCUCUGCCACAGUGAACAAAGCAUGCAGGAAAUUUCCACUUGUCUUCCUUCAUGUCAUUUGGUGACUCACAAGCGGAACCACCAGAAAUGGUUUUCCUUUUGAACUGAACAUUAGCGGUUAAUCAUAGGUAUUCCUCACUGGUUUAUCAACAUGUGGAAGACUCGUUGCAGUCUCAGCGUGUCAGCAGCAUGUGGGAAAACGCAAAGCCAAGGGGUUCAAGAAAGAUGAAUGUGUUAUGUGGCUCUCUUCCGCGCUCUGUAGGGUGACGUCAUGGCGCCAGCUGGCAGACAUCAGCGGCGCGCGAGGCUGUGGAGAGGAUGGGGCGUUGAGGUGUUUUAUGAAGAGUUUGCAGGAGCGUGUCUCUGUAUGUGUGCAAGCGUGGUCUCGGGCGUGCCGUAUAAUCAGGAGUCAGACAACACUACAUUAAAGAGCUUUCCAACUUAAUCUUUGUGAUAAGACAGAGCAGAGACGAGAGGAGAGAAAAAAUAGACACCUAAAUUGGCCACAGAAAGUCUCAGUUCCGCAACAGGAGUUUUCACGUGCUAUCGUAUGUGUUCUUGCGACUAUCAUCUAACGAGACUCUAUAGUUAAAGGGAAGCAACAACGUUCUCUGUGGUUUUGAGGUUGGCGAACUUAUGUCCCCUACAUGAAUGGCCAACUCAACAUUAAUUUGUUUAGUGGAAUCUCUUUUUGUGUGUCUUCAUCCAUCCUUCUAAAGCACCAGACCAAAGCGAUAUACAUAAGAAGAUCGACCCAAAAGCAAAAAUAUCAGUGGAUUUGCAUUGCUUCCCUGCCUACGAUUUAUAAACUUAUUAUUGUUGUUUCAAAAAGGUAUUCCGAAAAUUACUUAUAAGCAGCACAAAUAAUUAGUACCUAUACGUGAUCUGCUUUAUGUCUAGAAAAAAGGUGUGGAAAGAAGCAUUUUCAGCCUUGUUUACAAACUCUUGUGUUACGUAGGGAGAAUGUUCGCGUUGCUACCAACUGGCGAAUCAAAAGUAAAAUUUCGACCGGUAUUUUAAAAAAAUUAUAUCUAUUAACAUACAACAAUGACAUUAUCGAUGAUACUCCAUUUUAAAGAGCAUUUUAAAAACAUUUACGUGGUGUAAAUUUUAAGAAAUAUAGUUUUUGUUUACUAGUAGUAAAAUCAAAUGAAAGAUUGUAAUUGUAACUGUAACAUUGUAAUUGUAAGAUUGUAAUUGUAACUGUAACAGAGAACUAAUCGAAAAGGAGGUUAACCUAUAGAAUUAACAAAAAAAUUAUUUACAUGAUUUAAACAAACAUAAAGUACUAAACACACACAUUUUAUUAGAAUAUACAUUAGUAUUUAAAUAUUACUGACUGUUUUCUUCUUAUUUUAUUUUGUUUGAGUACAAAACCAUUUUGAAUAACGAAAUACCUGAUUAGUUGAAGGUUUUUCAGCCUUUAAAGGGAAGUAAUCUAUCAUGGAACAACUCCUAAAGGUUCCAGUACUUGCCUCCCUUAGAUAUUCAUUCAUUUACGCACAGAGAGAUGUGUUCUGAUAUUUCUGUUGGGACAAAUCUGACUCGGGCCAGGCACCUGUGCGCGGGUUCGGACAAAUUUGACCUAUUCGUCGUGAAUCACUGCGCAAGGCUUCAACUAGGUCAUAUUACCUUGAAGCACAUGUAAAUCCACCAUUUUCAAAAAUUCAUAAAAAAUAACUAUAAGAGAUAGAUUAAAAAAAAAUGAUAAUAAGA
rnacentral:lncRNA from 1 species